UUCUUCACUAAGCAUCACGGUAGCUUUUGGUGUGGGCACGCACACAUGUGCGCACAUACACACAUUUAUCAAAUUAGAGUAUCUAUCCCUAUUUAUCAGUCAUCGAUGGAGAGUUUUCUCCUUUGAUCUAUUGUGUAAUAUAUUAACAUAUUUUCUAAUAUCCAACCCUUCUUAUAUUCCUGAAAUGAAUCCUGCUUAGUUGUGGUGUAUAUUUAUUUUAAUAUUCUAAUUUGCAAUUUUUGCAUAUUCCAAAAGAUUGACAUUUAAUUAUCUACCAUAAAUGCAGCAUUGUUUAGAAUGGCCCCAAACUGGAAAUAACUUGAUGCCUACCAAUUAAUGAUGUAUUUGAAGAGAGAGUGGUAGAGUCAUAUAAUUGAGGAGAAUGUGGACCUUUAAAAAAUGAGGAAGAUCUAUAAUAUUACGGGAAAAUGUCCAAGAUUAAUGAAAAAAGCUGAUAUGCAAGUUGAAUAUGUUUAAUAUGACUCCAUUUGUGUUAAAUAAUGCUAAUAUUAAUAGUAAUAACAUGUAGUACUAUAAUUUUGUGUGCAUCGAACAUUUCUGGAAAGAUACAGUUAACAGUGCUGGCGCAGUGGGGGCAGUGGUGUGAAGGGCGGGGCCUCCCUUUUUACUGUAUACCUCUUUGUAAUGUUGGAGUCUUUUUCAUAAUAAGCCUACCUUAUCCUUUACUAAAAAAGUUAGUUUUAAAAAAGCUAAAGAUAAAAACUGUAAUGCUAAUGAGGAAGGGGGGAAAAGUAUUUUAUGCCUUUUCUUGGAUCACUUGCAUAUAGGCAGCCCUGACAUUGCUUAUCCAUUAAAGAUUUUCCUAACUUCAUUUAACAAACAUGUAUUGAUCCCCUUACACUGUUACAUGCUGGAUCUCUGCCAUAAAUACACCCGUCAGUAGCUCCUCCUAGUGAGUGAAGCGUGUGAACAAGGUGUCUCUGAGUGAUUCCAGCGGGCACUGAGUCCAGAAGUCUUGUACACCAUGUUGAGUGUGGACUUUACCCUGAUGGAAACUCACUGAGUAGCUUUUAGGGCGGAAGCAGUUGUGAUUAGCUGUAACUUGUAUCACUCCUCUGGCUGCAGUAUGGAUCCCAGCUGGAAAAGCACAAGACUGGAGGCCAGAAUACCAAUGCAGGGCGGUUGGAGUCAUCUAGGUGGCCACAUUCUCAGCUAAAAAUCAUGUGUUCUAUAACUGUAAAAGAAAGGGGGAAAGUGCAUCAGUUUCCGCUGGUGAUGCUGAAACAGACUUCAAAAUUUCAGUACGUUGCAUGGGGUCGAGGUCAGAAAUUUGGUGCCUGAAUCCUACCAGUCCCUGCUUUGCAACCUGCCAAGGAGUUUGUAACCAUAAGGAAGAGCAGCCAAUCAGAAAGAAAGUACCACUCAUAUAACUAGAAAAACACUCCGAUUGCAGGACUUCUCAGGUAAGCCGUGAUGAAACAACCCAUCUUCCCUUACCUUUUAUAGAAAAAGCCUGGCUCAAGAAAGCCCCAAGUCCAAUUUCCCACUUUGUUUGGAAGAGAGGAUGACAGGCCUGACCCCUAAGAGGGCAAGUGACUGCACAUGGUUUCUGACCUAUUAGCACAGCAACCAUGUUCAUUUGUGAAAAUACAGCCCCAUGAAUAUCUUGAGCUCACUUUAAUCUGAUGAGUCCUCUUACCUUAUGGGGGUGACAAGGAAGGAGGCUCGUGAGGAGUAGCACUUCCUAUAUAUGGAGCCCAUUUAACAUUGCUUAGAGCCUUCAGUGCCACACUUUGGUGUGGAUCAUGUUUUGGUUUUAUAGCAAUUUUAUGCGAUACUGUUCAAUUGAAGAAAAACUUCAACUGAUAUACUUUUAAAAGAGAAUAUCGUAUGGUGCCAGGCUUGUUAGAGAAACGUCUUAGACCUUCCAGAUCUGUUUAGCUGCAUGCUGACUACCACCAGUGACAUCAUUCAAUAUCACGUAGAGCACAGUUCACCCAGCCAAGCCUUGACCCACCGAAUCAGGAGUUACAAUGAAACGGUGGUCGUUUUGAGUCAUUGAAUUUUGGGGUAAUUUGUUAUGCAGUAACUAGAACGAACAUACACUAUGCACCACCCAUCACCUGAGCCUAAACUACUGGCUCAGAGUCGGACAAUCAGCUCUAAUGCAUCUUUUGGAGCGAAAAUUAAUAUAAGACCCGGUCUUAUAUAAGAUCCGGUUUUAUUAUAGUAAAAUAAGACUGGGUCUUAUAUUAAUUUUUGCUCCAAAAUACGCAUUAGAGUUGACUAUCCGGCUAGGUCUUAUUUUCGGGGAAACAUUGUAGUUUGCCUUUCUCAUAGUGUUCAGUAUUUACUGAUAUAACCCUUUUCAUUUCAGAACCUCCCCCUACUGCUACCUAAUUUCCCAUUUCAUUUUGAGGUAUUUCAUUUCUUUUAUAAAGCACUCAUCUGCUUAUGCCACUUAAUUACAGGUCAUGCUACUGACCCUGCCUCUUGGAAGCUCUUAGUAAUUGGAAGCAUUGCUUCUUCACUUUUAAAAGUGGAAACAUUUCCCUUUUAAAUUGUGUAACAAUAAGAUGACUUUUACAUUUUAAUUAGUCAGAUGCUUGGGGAAUUGGUUAACUAGAAAGCAUUUUUUGUUUAAAUCCUUACUGAAAACUUUUCAAUAAAAUUUAAGUAGUAAUUUUGAACAAUAGUUAUUGCUUGAGAGACUGAACUGGAUGAGUAUCUGCACAUUACAGAAAUAGUGUUAAAAUUUUUUUCAUAUAAUCAUGUUCCCUUCUAACUUGCUAUUUCUAAGAGUGGGAUCCCAUGAAUUUAAGUUACUCAAGGUUUUACCGAGCUUUUCUAUACAGUCUUCUCUGCCCCUCACCCCUUUUCCUUUUCUUUAAAACCCUGCCAUUUAUCCUCUGGACAGCCAAGGAUGGCCUCUCAUCAGACAUCCUUAAUUAUGGGGGACCCAUGAGACAUUUUCUUAGGUCUUACUAAUAGGAAUAAUGGUGUUUAUCUAAAGUCGAUGUUUUUAUCUAAUAACAGAACACUGAACACAGAACUGAUUUUUUUGUGUUAGAUGCUAGAAAGCUCAAAGCCCCCUCUUAUCAACCGUUGCAGUUAAGUUUCAGAAUUGUUUUAUUAACUUCAUCUUGACUUCAUUUAAUUUCUUCCAUCCUCACUUUCCUCCCCAUAAUUUCCUCACUUAAAACAAAAAACUAGCUGUGUUGUACACAUUUUUUAUAAGCUGUCUUAAAAACAUUUUGGGACAAGAUGGGCAAUUUUAGAAAUUGUUCAAGAUUGUAAGGUAUUUCGAAGGCCCCUUUUCAUCAGUUUUAACCCAAACUUUCUAGGUUGUCUUCAUUAUCUUUUAAGUUCCUUUUACAGCUUCAUUUAGCUCUCUGAUCAUAUAUACUAACAUACAUUUGCUCUAAGAACACUUGUACCAUUCCUUUGGUUUCAACUAUGACUUUUAUACUGGCCACAAGCAGACCCCGUAUCUCUGUACAGAGUUCUGUAUUUUCUGGACCUGAAUUUACAGUUGACGAAAGGGCAUUUCCAUUUGUCUGUCUACCUACCUACCUACCUACACAU